rnacentral:rRNA from 1 species
CAAGCUUUUAAGAGCAGAUGGCGGAUGCCUUGCCAAAGAGAGGCGAUGAAGGACGUACUAGACUGCGAUAAGCUAUGCGGAGCUGUCAAGGAGCUUUGAUGCGUAGAUGUCCGAAUGGGGCAACCCAACUAAUAGAGAUAUUAGUUACUCUAAUUAUUAAUAGAGGGCGAACCUAGUGAAGUGAAACAUCUCAGUAACUAGAGGAAAAGAAAUCAACGAGAUUCCCUAAGUAGUGGCGAGCGAACGGGGAAAAGGGCAAACCGAGUGCUUGCAUUCGGGGUUGAGGACUGCAACAUCCAAGAGAACGCUUUAGCAGAGUUACCUGGAAAGGUAAGCCAUAGAAAGUGAUAGCCUUGUAUGCGACAAGGCGUUCUCAGGUAGCAGUAUCCAGAGUAGGCCAGGACACGAGAAAUCCAGGUUGAAGCUGGGGAGACCACUCUCCAACCCUAAAUACUACUCUUUGAGCGAUAGCGAACAAGUACCGUGAGGGAAAGGUGAAAAGAACCGCAGUGAGCGGAGUGAAAUAGAACCUGAAACCAUCUGCUUACAAUCAUUCAGAGCCCUAUGAUUUAUCAGGGUGAUGGACUGCCUUUUGCAUAAUGAUCCUGCGAGUUGUGGUAUCUGGCAAGGUUAAGCGAAUGCGAAGCCGUAGCGAAAGCGAGUCUUAAUAGGGCGCUUGAGUCAGAUGCUGCAGACCCGAAGCUAAGUGAUCUAUCCAUGGCCAAGUUGAAACGCGUGUAAUAGCGCGUGGAGGACUGAACUCGUACCAUUGAAACGGGUUGGGAUGAGCUGUGGAUAGGGGUGAAAGGCCAAACAAACUUAGUGAUAGCUGGUUCUCUUCGAAAUAUAUUUAGGUAUAGCCUCAAGUGAUAAUAAAAGGGGGUAGAGCGCUGAUUGGGCUAGGGCUGCUCGCCGCGGUACCAAACCCUAUCAAACUUCGAAUACCUUUUAUCGUAUCUUGGGAGUCAGGCGGUGGGUGAUAAAAUCAAUCGUCAAAAGGGGAACAACCCAGACUACCAAAUAAGGUCCCUAAGUUCUAUUCUGAGUGGAAAAAGAUGUGUGGCUACUCAAACAACCAGGAGGUUGGCUUAGAAGCAGCCAUCCUUUAAAGAAAGCGUAACAGCUCACUGGUCUAGUGGUCAUGCGCUGAAAAUAUAACGGGGCUAAGAUAGACACCGAAUUUGUAGAUUGUGUUUGACACAGUGGUAGAAGAGCGUUCAUACCAGCGUUGAAGGUAUACCGGUAAGGAGUGCUGGAGCGGUAUGAAGUGAGCAUGCAGGAAUGAGUAACGAUAAGAUAUAUGAGAAUUGUAUCCGCCGUAAAUCUAAGGUUUCCUACGCGAUGGUCGUCAUCGUAGGGUUAGUCGGGUCCUAAGCCGAGUCCGAAAGGGGUAGGUGAUGGCAAAUUGGUUAAUAUUCCAAUACCGACUUAUGGAGCGUGAUGGGGGGACGCAUAGGGUUAAGCGAGCUAGCUGAUGGAAGCGCUAGUCUAAGGGCGUAGAUUGGAGGGAAGGCAAAUCCACCUCUGUAUUUGAAACCCAAACAGGCUCUUUGAGUCCUUUUAGGACAAAGGGAGAAUCGCUGAUAUCGUCGUGCCAAGAAAAGCCUCUAAGCAUAUCCAUAGUCGUCCGUACCGCAAACCGACACAGGUAGAUGAGAUGAGUAUUCUAAGGCGCGUGAAAGAACUCUGGUUAAGGAACUCUGCAAACUAGCACCGUAAGUUCGCGAUAAGGUGUGCCACAGCGAUGUGGUCUCAGCAAAGAGUCCCUCCCGACUGUUUACCAAAAACACAGCACUUUGCCAACUCGUAAGAGGAAGUAUAAGGUGUGACGCCUGCCCGGUGCUCGAAGGUUAAGAGGAUGCGUCAGUCGCAAGAUGAAGCGUUGAAUUGAAGCCCGAGUAAACGGCGGCCGUAACUAUAACGGUCCUAAGGUAGCGAAAUUCCUUGUCGGUUAAAUACCGACCUGCAUGAAUGGCGUAACGAGAUGGGAGCUGUCUCAACCAGAGAUUCAGUGAAAUUGUAGUGGAGGUGAAAAUUCCUCCUACCCGCGGCAAGACGGAAAGACCCCGUGGACCUUUACUACAACUUAGCACUGCUAAUGGGAAUAUCAUGCGCAGGAUAGGUGGGAGGCUUUGAAGUAAGGGCUUUGGCUCUUAUGGAGCCAUCCUUGAGAUACCACCCUUGAUGUUUCUGUUAGCUAACUGGCCUGUGUUAUCCACAGGCAGGACAAUGCUUGGUGGGUAGUUUGACUGGGGCGGUCGCCUCCUAAAAAGUAACGGAGGCUUGCAAAGGUUGGCUCAUUGCGGUUGGAAAUCGCAAGUUGAGUGUAAUGGCACAAGCCAGCCUGACUGUAAGACAUACAAGUCAAGCAGAGACGAAAGUCGGUCAUAGUGAUCCGGUGGUUCUGUGUGGAAGGGCCAUCGCUCAAAGGAUAAAAGGUACCCCGGGGAUAACAGGCUGAUCUCCCCCAAGAGCUCACAUCGACGGGGAGGUUUGGCACCUCGAUGUCGGCUCAUCGCAUCCUGGGGCUGGAGCAGGUCCCAAGGGUAUGGCUGUUCGCCAUUUAAAGCGGUACGCGAGCUGGGUUCAGAACGUCGUGAGACAGUUCGGUCCCUAUCUGCCGUGGGCGUAGGAAAGUUGAGGAGAGCUGUCCCUAGUACGAGAGGACCGGGAUGGAUGUGUCACUGGUGCACCAGUUGUUCUGCCAAGAGCAUCGCUGGGUAGCUACACACGGAUGUGAUAACUGCUGAAAGCAUCUAAGCAGGAAGCCAACUCCAAGAUAAACUUUCCCUGAAGCUCGCACAAAGACUAUGUGCUUGAUAGGGUAGAUGUGUAAGCGCAGUAAUGCGUUUAGCUGACUACUACUAAUAGAGCGUUUGGCUUGUUUU